CACCCUGACUGAAAGUGUGACGUGACCAGCUCCCCACAGUUUCCCCACCAUGAUGGAGAGUAUCCUUUCAAACGUGGCUGAGGAGCGCAAAAUAAUAACAGGUGCCAAUGAUCAUGUGUCAGAAAGUGCUGGGAUAUUGGCAAACCUGCUGGAUGGACACUUUUGGCACUGUCGGCUCCAGUGUACAGAAUGCUGACAGCUCCCCGUUUCUCGUAGGCAACUCCUGUGCUUCCCAGGCUCCGGGGAAGAAGCAUGGCAAGUGGAAACCAGUGUUUUCUGGACAUCAGAAUCCUGCUUCAAAGCACAGGAUCACUGAGAAGAGUAUGGUGGCUGGAGACGCAGAGCAGAAGUCCUGGACUCGGGCCCACCUUUUAUUAGCCUGGAUCCUGUUGCUGUGCCUGUACCUCUUGGUGCUUCCACUUCUCCAUCUGUAAAGCAGUAAUAACCCUGACCUAACUCACCUCAAGAGGGACAGGUCUGGAGGCUUUAGAUCUGCAGCCUGCUGUACGGAGGGGGAUGGGCUAGGUGAUUUGUUCAUGCCUUUAUUUUGUUUUGAGGCUGGAUUUCACUUAUGUAGCCUUGGCUGUCCUGGAACUCUCUAUGUAGCCCAGGCUGCCCUAGAAUUUACAGAGAUCUGCCUGCCUCUGCUGAGCUGGAAUUAAAUAUGUAUGUCAUCACACCUAGCAUGAUACAAUGCCACACACAGAUACUCCUCUACUUACUGUCAGAACCCGAGCAACUAACCAUAAACUGAGAUUUUGUGAUGGGGCUGCAGGGAGGGUGCAAGGAGCAAGAGCACCCCCUGUGAAGACCUGAGGACCUGAGUUUGAAUCUCUAGUACCUGCUUAUAAAAGCUAAGCACGGCUGUGGGUGCCUGUAACCUCAGCAUUGAGGGUAGAGACACAGAGAGAUGGACCCUGGGACUUUUCUGACCAACCAGCUUAGUCAAAACAACAACCUUUCCAUUCAGUUUGAGACCCUGUCUGGAGCUUCCCAUCCAGUGAGGGACUCUGUCCCACGGGAAUAAGACAGCAUGUGAUAGAGGGAGCCGACCAAUGUUUUCCUCCAGUCUCUGCAGGAGUAUGUGCAGACAUUUCCAUCUGUACACUCAUGUGUGACACCCAUAUCCCUAUACUACACACAAACACACACACACACACACACACAGAGAGAGAGAGAGAGAGAGAGAGAGAGAGAGGCGCAUGAUAAGUGAAGAUACAGUAUAUGCCUCCUUUCAAGACCAUGAGGCCUAAUGGGAGCUGUCACUGCUGCCUGGCCUCACAAGGGAGCACAACACUACAUCUUGCUCCAAAGUUUCCUGUCUCCUGAAGGCAUGUUGCCUUCAUGCCACGGUAAAGUUCGAAACUCCCAAGUCAGACCAUCGCAAGUCAAAGCCAUCGCUACCACUCUCUGAAAAAUAAAAACCAUAAGAGCAGCACAAGGCUAGGCGUGGUGCAACUCAGGGCAUAGAGACAAGAGCGCGGAGAGUUAAAGGCCAGCCUGGGCUGAGGAGCGAAACUCUGAGAAACAAACAAGCUGGGGCCAGAGAGACGGCUCAGUGGGUAAAAUUGCUUGCCAUUCUUGCAGAGGACCUGGAUUCAGUUCCCAGCACCUACACGGUGGCUCACAACCAUCCAACCAUCUGCAAUUCCAGUUUCAAGGGAUCUGGUGUCCUUUUCUGGCCUCCACAGGCAUUAGACAUGCAGGUGACGCACAGACAUAUAUGCUGGCAAAACACUUAUAAAAAUUAAAUAACACUUAUAAAGAUUAACUAACAUAACGCUCUUGUCACUCAAACAUAACGCAUCUCUUUCAGGUAUCCAGUCUUCACUCAGCAUCUUGAAGAACUUUUCCUCCUAGCACAAAUAAACUCUUUUAAGUGGCUGCCUGAUACCCUACAACAGUAAUUCUCAACUUGCGGGCUGUGGCCCCUCUGGCAAACCUCUGCCUCCAAAACUAUUUACAUUACCAUUCACAAUAGUAGCAAGAUUACGGUUAAGAGAAGUAGCAACAGAAAUAAUUUUAUGCUUGGGGGUCACCACAACAUGAGGAACUGUAUUAAAGGGCUUAGCAAAUCCCUUCCAGGUGGAUAUUUGAGAUUGCCUUUAUGGUGAGUCCCAGGGAGACAGGCAGCGCAGAGCCCUUCGUCACCCCUGAUGUCAAGCACCUCCUCAUUGGUCGGUUUAGUAAUCCUCAGACCUCCAGACUCUGAGACUGUGGGAGCCGGAUGUAGCAGGCAUUUCUGGCCUCAGGAUGGGAGGAGCAGGCCCGGAGCACAGGAAGCUCAGAAGGAAACAAAUCUAGGGAAGUCAUCAUGGGGCUUUGUGUCUUGAAAUCGGCCGGGCUGACUGCCUCUCGAGGAGUGUUCAACCUGUGCCCCACAGAAUCACCUGGGGACCGUCUCCAAUCUCAGAGCCAGACCGCGCUCCGGGUCCAUCUAAUUAAAGCAGGAUCUCUUGGGGCAGCCCUUGGUCUCAGCCGGCUGACAGAAUUGCAGUUAUUCUCUUGUACAGCCACAAGAAACCACAGCACAGAAGCUUGGAAGUAAUAACAGCACGACCAGCCUGCGGCCCUUUAUAUUCUUCUUUUGUUCCGCCCUAUGAGAGAGAGGUCUGAUGUCCCCGCGGCCUACAAGCCCGAUAUUUAACUACCCUGGUGUGUACACGGAGCAGUUCUUAUUUAAGUCCUGGCUAAGUUUUUAUUUGGUCACCUUUUUUGACUCUUAUUCAAAAUUGUUUAUGUAAAUUGGUAAGAAGCUUUUAGCAGGCAAUUUGGCAAUUUGUUUCAAGAGCUGUAAAAUGGCUCAGAAUUAUUGGCUCAGAUAUUCCAUUUUUGGACGCGAUCCUAAAGAAAUAACAUAAGUAUGGAGAAAACACAAUGUAAGAUGUUCAUUGUUCCACUAUUUAUGUUAAUUGAAAAUUGGAGAAAUCUAAUGUCUAAUGAUAAUAGGAGUGGCUCUUCUGUGAUACCUCUAUUUGGAAGCAUAAGUAACCAUAAAUACUAUAGCCACGAAGACAAAGUAAUAACAUGGAAAAUGCUUGUGCUAUAAACUUAAAUGAAAAUCCAGGACCCAAGACUGUGUGGAUACAGUAUAAUCUCA